rnacentral:lncRNA from 1 species
UUAAAGUUCUGUACUGCCCUUAAGGAUUGCCUCGAACAUGCUCCACACAAUCACGAAAUUAUUGAGUCGGCGCUUAAAUCUUAUGAUGAAGAGGACAAAUUAGAAGUCGAGACCGUCAAGAAGAAUUCCUUUAAGGCCUUGGAGGAAAUGAGGAGGUUCAAAGCAGCUGAAGAGCUUUUCGUUGAGGAGUUCCUUGUACUGAAAAGAAUGGCCCAUAGGCGGUACGAAUCGAUGCAAGGGAAGGUGCGUGCUCGGAAAAAAGGGCUCGAAAAGAAGGUGGAAUCAAGGGAAACACUGAGGAGGCUGAUGACCUUAUUGUUAGAAAUCAAACCCACUCCAAGCAUAAUCUAGAAGCAUGAGACGUGGAGCAAUUUUGUGCCAUGCAAAGUGCUGAAAUUUUAGCCAUACAAAGUGCUCCAUUAUUGAGAUGUUUUGUGGCUGGAAAUUAAGUGGAUUAAUAGCCACAUUUGUUGUCACUUUAUCAGCCUAUAAAUAGAGGCUUGAACUUGUGUUGUAAAGGAAGAAAAAUGAGAAGAAAAAAGAAAUAAGAGAAGCAACGUGAGUGAGAGUGAGAAGGUUAGCAAACCUUGAGUGAGUUAAAAUCUAGCAGCAGCUAGACUAUCUAGUCAUUGAGAAAAUAUUUGUAAUCUUCGUAUUGUAAUAUAUUGAGUGUGUAAUAAAAAGUAAAUUUUCGGCCCAUCACGUUUCCAACAAGUGGCAUCAGAGCUACGGUUCGGAGCUUGGUUCGGAGUUCGGUUCGUGUCCGGUUCGUGUCCAGUUCGGAGUACCUUUGGUGUUCAUCUAACAAGUCGAUAUGGGCGACGUAAUUCAGCUACAAGUUCCACAAUUGACGAAGACAAAUUAUGGAAAUUGGAGCAUUCGAAUGAAGGCUUUGCUCGGUUCGCAAGAUUGUUGGGAGAUCGUUGAAAAAGGAUACAUCGAGCCCGGAGAUGCCGCUACAGAAGCAGCUUUUUCAAAUGACGCUAAGAAGGCGUUACGAGAAGCAUGAAAGAAGGAUCAAAAGGCCUUGAAUAGUAUCUUUCAAGGAAUGGAUGAAUCAACCUUCGAGAAAAUAUCAGAUGUGAAGAACGCGAAGAAUGCAUGGGAGAUUUUGCAAAAAUCAUUUCAAGGUGUAGAAAAAGCUAAAAAGGUACGCCUUCAGUCACUUAGAGCUGAAUUUGAAAUGUUAAAAAUGAAGAGCUCCGAGAAUAUCGAUGACUAUGCCAAUCGUGUAAAAUCGGUGGUAAAUGAAAUGAAACGAAAUGGAGAAACUCUUGACGAGGUAAGAGUGAUGGAGAAAAUUCUACGGUCACUCACACGCAAAUUCGAGUACGUAGUCGUUGCCAUCGAAGAAUCAAAAGAUUUGUCAAAGAUGUCGCUCGAAGAACUUGUGGGUUCUCUGCAAGCCCAUGAGCAAAAGAUGAAGCUAAAUGAAGAUAGUGAAAAUCUUGAUCAAGCCUUGCAUAGCAAGUUGUCCGUCGACGACGGAGAAACAAGUAAUAACUUUAACCAAGGAAGAGGAAACCGCAGAGGAUACCGUGGAGGCUACCGUGGUGGAAACAGAGGAGGAAGAGGAUCACGAGGACGUGGAAAUCAAUCAUAUGGGAGAUAUCAAGAAAAUAAAGAUUAUCAAACAUCCAACCGUAGACGUGGAUCUAGAGGUCGUGGCCGAGGCAGAUUUCAAGAAAAUAAAUCUCAGGUACAAUGCUACAACUGUAACAAGUAUGGACAUUUCAGUUACGAGUGCAGAUCAACACACAAAGUGGAUGAAAGAAACCAUGUAGCAGUCGCAGCAGAAGGCAACGAAAAAGUGGAAUCAAGUGUCUUUCUCACUUACGGAGAAAAUGAAGAUCGCAAGAGAAGUGUGUGGUAUCUCGACAACGGUGCAAGCAACCACAUGUGUGGAAGAAAGGAGCUGUUCACAGAAUUAGAUGAAACAGUUCAUGGACAAAUAACUUUUGGAGACAACUCACAUGCAGAAAUCAAAGGAAAGGGCAAGGUUGUUAUAACACAAAGGAAUGGAGAGAAGAAGUACAUCUCAGACGUUUACUACGUACCAGCUUUGAAGAGCAACCUGAUCAGUCUUGGUCAACUCCUAGAAAAAGGAUAUGAAGUUCAUAUGAAAGACCGCUCACUCGCCAUCAGGAACAAAAGUGGAGAAUUAGUUGUUCGAGUUGAUAUGACGCGAAAUCGUCUUUUCACCCUCGACAUCGAGUCUGGAGAAGUAAAAUGCAUGAAGACGGAUCUGAAGAAUGAAUCAUGGUUGUGGCACUUAAGGUACGGACAUCUCGGAUUUUCUGGCUUGAAGCUGUUGUCGAAGACAAAUAUGGUGAAUGGAUUACCAAGUAUUAAUCAUCCAGAUCAACUGUGUGAAGCCUGUGUCAAAGGAAAGCAGCAUAGGCAGAAAUUUGAAGUAGGAAAAUCUCGAAGAGCUAGAAGACCAUUGGAAAUUGUACACACCGACAUAUCUGGUCCGUACGACAUUGAAUCACUCGGUGGAAACAGGUACUACCUAACUUUUAUUGAUGAUUAUAGCAGAAAAUGUUGGGUUUAUUUUCUCAAAGCAAAAUCGGAAGCCCUAGAAAAAUUCAAGGAGUUCAAAGCAAUGGUGGAAAAACAGAGUGGUCGAUAUUUGAAGAUACUCAGAUCCGAUAGAGGAGGCGAGUAUACUGCAAAGCUUUAUGAAAGUUUCUGCAAGGAUCAUGGAAUCAUUCAUCAGUUAACAGCCAGACGCACUCCACAACAAAACGGAGUUGCAGAAAGGAAGAAUUGGACAAUUCUGGAUAUGGCAAGAAGCAUGAUAAAAGGUAAACACCUUCCGAGAACUUUCUGGGCUGAAGCCGUUGAAUGCGCAGUUUAUCUGUUGAAUCAAUGUCCAACAAAAAGUGUAAGACACAAGACACCAGAAGAAGCAUGGAGCGGUCACAAGCCAAGAGUUGGACACCUCAAAAUUUUUGGAUGCAUUUCAUAUGCACACGUUCCUGAGCAACAGAGGAAAAAGCUUGACGAUAGAGGAGAGAAGUGUAUCUUUAUAGGCUAUGACAAAAGAAGUAAGGCCUACAGACUUUAUAAUCCUCUUACUAAGAAAUUGAUUAUCUCAAGAGAUGUCGAGUUCGAUGAAGCGGAUUACUGGAGAUGGAGUGAAGAAGAAAAGAAAGUGGAAGGAUUAUUUUUCAACGAAGACGACAAUAACCAAGAAGAACAAGGCGAUGAUCAAAGUCCUGGUACAACAGCCCCUUCGUCACCAACCAGCAGCAGCGGAAGCAGCAGCUCAGAUGAAGCACCCACAAGAACACGGAGUCUCAACGACAUCUACAAUUCUACGGAACCUGUAGAGACGCAGUUCGAUUAUUCACUAUUCUGUCUAAUGACAGAAUGUGAUCCAGUGACAUACGAAGAAGUAAUUGAAAACAAUAAAUGGAAGAAGGCCAUGGACGAGGAGAUUGCUGCAAUAAGAAGGAAUGACACAUGGGAGCUAACAAGUCUGCCAGAAGGACAUAGCCCGAUUGGUGUCAAGUGGGUGUACAAGACGAAGACCAACAAAGAAGGAAAAGUAGAGAAAUACAAGGCAAGACUAGUCGCCAAAGGCUACAAGCAAAGACAAGGAGUGGACUAUGAUGAAAUAUUUGCUCCAGUCGCAAGAAUAGACACAAUUAGGCUUCUCAUAGCGGUCGCAGCACAAUACAAAUGGAAAAUCUAUCAGAUGGACGUCAAGUCUGCAUUCCUGAAUGGCUACUUGGAGGAGGAAGUCUACAUAGAACAACCACCUGGAUAUAGCAUACAAGGAAAGGAGGACAAAGUCUACCGAUUGAAGAAAGCUUUGUAUGGAUUGAAGCAAGCCCCAAGAGCAUGGAACACAAGGAUCGACGAGUACUUCCGAAGAAAUGGAUUCAUCAAAAGCCCGCACGAGCACACCCUGUACACAAAGAAGAAUGGAUAUGGAGAUAUCAUGAUCAUAUGCCUAUAUGUGGAUGACAUGAUCUUCACCGGAAACAAUCCAGGUAUGUCUGAUGAUUUCAAGAAAGCUAUGACUAAAGAAUUUGAAAUGACAGAUAUCGGUGAGAUGUCAUACUUUCUUGGAGUCGAGGUGAAACAAAUGCAAGAUGGAAUUUUUGUCUCUCAAAAGAAGUAUGCGGAGCAGAUUUUGAACAAGUUCAAAAUGAAGGAUUGCAAGCCAGUAGUCACGCCAGCUGAUCCAGGGAUGAAGCUAAGUGUUGAUUCGACAAGGGAGUCGAUAAAUCCGACGUUGUUUAAAAGUCUCGUUGGAAGUUUAAGGUAUUUGACAAUCACACGACCAGAUAUUACAUAUGCAGUAGGAUUGGUGAGCAGAUUCAUGGAGAAGCCGAAGCAAGACCACUUAAUUGCCGCAAAAAGAAUUUUGAGAUAUAUCAAAGGUACGAUGAACCAUGGUUUAUUCUAUACCCACUCACAAGAUUCAAAAUUAGUUGGCUACUCAGAUAGCGAUUAUGGGGGAGACUUGGAUGAUCGGAAAAGCACUUCCGGAUAUGCAUUCCACAUCAGUUCCGCAGUUUUUUCAUGGUCGUCAAAGAAGCAACAAACAAUUGCUCUCUCAACAUGUGAAGCAGAGUAUAUGGCCGCAGCAACUUGUACAUGCCAAGCAAUGUGGUUGAAGAAUAUUUUGGGAGAAAUAGGUGUUUCAAAUGAAGGUCCAAUUACCAUCUACGUUGACAACAAAUCCGCUAUAUCACUUGCCAAGAAUCCGGUGUCGCACAGCCGAAGCAAGCACAUCGAUACGAAGUAUCAUUUUAUCCGAGAGCAAGUGAAAAACAAAAACGUGGAGUUGGUCCAUUGCAGGACAGAAGAUCAACUGGCAGAUAUUUUCACAAAGCCGUUGAAAGUGGAGACAUUCAACAAAUUCAAAGAGAAGCUCGGUAUGAAAGUUGGGUUUGAGGGGGAGUGUUAGAAAUCAAACCCACUCCAAGCAUAAUCUAGAAGCAUGAGACGUGGAGCAAUUUUGUGCCAUGCAAAGUGCUGAAAUUUUAGCCAUACAAAGUGCUCCAUUAUUGAGAUGUUUUGUGGCUGGAAAUUAAGUGGAUUAAUAGCCACAUUUGUUGUCACUUUAUCAGCCUAUAAAUAGAGGCUUGAACUUGUGUUGUAAAGGAAGAAAAAUGAGAAGAAAAAAGAAAUAAGAGAAGCAACGUGAGUGAGAGUGAGAAGGUUAGCAAACCUUGAGUGAGUUAAAAUCUAGCAGCAGCUAGACUAUCUAGUCAUUGAGAAAAUAUUUGUAAUCUUCGUAUUGUAAUAUAUUGAGUGUGUAAUAAAAAGUAAAUUUUCGGCCCAUCACGUUUCCAACACUUAUUUGUGCCCACUUUUAUGCGGAACAAAGAAAAGAUAAAGAUGAAGAAGAAGUUAACAGCUAUAAUGGAGAUCUAUGGUUCUAGUGCAACCACCAUAUGGAUGCUUGUUCAACAAUUGGAAAUUAAGAAAACGUCACUGUUGCACUCCGUUGAUUGCAUGGUCACAGAAGGAUAUACUUUGAAGGUUGGGAUGGAUGAUAUCAACGAAAAAUUGAAACUUGUUAAGCCUAUAAUCACAGAUUUGCUUCGAGAGACCGAGGAAUGUAGCUAUAAAUUUAGGACGGAUCGGGAAGAGAUUCAGCGGCAGAUGACGCUCAUGCUCUAGCACAUCAACCAGAGAGCGAAGACAAUCCCUUGGGAACUCAAGCAAUGACAUACCUCACCGAAUUUAUGGCGUAUCGGUAUUACAUUUAGGUUUGUAAAUACAUAUAUGAUAUAAUGAUUCUAUGGUCCUAUGUGAUCAUAUACAUUUGAUCAUAAACAGGAGUUGUUGUACUUUAGUCUCUUAAAGUGCUAUACCUACUCCCUCGUAUCCGGUUUCCUUUGGACCGAUUUCAGCAAUGAAUCGGAACUCUUUGAUGCCUUGAAAAAUAAUAUUAUUACAUUAUUAAAUGCUUGAAAUCGGAUAUGUACAUUCAGCUGUGAGAAUGCAUACAUUUAUUUAUAUAUGUGUUCGUGAUGCAAUGUUGCUAUGUUCUUACUGUUGAUUGAAUCAUUAGCCCCCAAUCUCCAUGCUUGUUUCCUAGCAGGUGUUGUUGUACUUUAGUCUCUUAAAGUACUAUCCCUAUUUCCUCGAAUCCGGUUUUCUUUGGACAGAUUUGGGCAAUGAAUUGGAACUCUUUGUUACCUUGAAAAAAAAAUUAUUACAUUGACAAAUGCUUUAAAUUGGAUAUGUACAUUCAGCUGUGAGAAUGCAUACAUUUAUUUAUGUCUGUCUGUGUGAUGCAUUGCUGCUAUGUUCUUAGUGUUGAUUGAAUCAUUAACCCCGAUCUCCAUGCUUGUUUCCUAGAAAGUGUUGUUGUACUUUAGUCUCUUAAAGUGCUAUCCCUAUUCCCCCGUAUCCGGUUUCCUUUGGACUGAUUUCGGCAAUAAAUUGGAACUCUUUGUUACCUUGAAAAAUAAUAUUAUUACAUUGGCAAAUGCUUUAAAUUGGAUAUGUACAUUUAACUGUGAAAAUGCUUACAUUUAUUUAUUUAUGUGUGUGUGAUGCACUGCUGCUAUGUUCUUAGUGUUGAUAGAAUCAUUAGCCCCCAAUCUCUAUGCUUGUUCCCUAGCAGGUGGUGUUGUACUUUAGUCUCUUAAAGUGCUAUCCCUAUUCCUCCAAAUCCGGUUUUCUUUGGACAGAUUUGGGCGAUGAAUUGGAAAUCUUUGUUACCUUGAAAGACAAUAUUAUUACAUUGACAAAUGCUUUAAAUUGGAUAUGUACAUUCAGCUGUGAGAAUGCAUACAUUUAUUUUUAUAUGUCUGUGUGAUGCACUGCUACUAUGUUCUUAGUGUUGAUUGGAUCAUUAGCCCCCAAUCUCCAUGCUUGUUUUCUAGCAGGUGUUUUUGUACUUUAGUCUCUUAAAAGUGCUAUCCCUAUUCCUCCAAAUCCGGUUUUCUUUGGACAGAUUUGGGCGAUGAAUUGGAACUCUUUGUUAUCUUGAAAAAUAAUAGUAUUACAUUGACAAAUGCUUUAAAUUGGAUAUGUACAUUCAGCUGUGAGAAUGUAUACAUUUAUUUAUAUAUGUGUGUGAUGCAAUGCUGCUAUGUUCUUAGUGUUUUUUGAAUCAUUAGCCCCCGGUCUCCACGCUUGUUUCCUAGCAGGUGUUGCUGUACUUUAGUUUCUUAUAGUGCUAUCCCUAUUCCCCCGAAUUCGGUUUUUUUGGACCGAUUUCGGCGAUGAAUCGAAACUCUUUGUUACCUUGAAAAAAACUUUAUUACAUUGACAAAUGCUUUAAAUUGGAUAUGUAGAUUCAACUGUGAGAAUGCACACAUUUAUUUAUAUAUGUAAGUGUGAUGCAAUACAGUUAUGUUCUUAGUGUUGGUUGAACCAUUAGCCCCCGAUCUCCAUGCUUGUUUCCUAGCAGGUGUUGUUGUGCUUUAGUCUCUUAAAGUUCUAUCCCUAUUCCCCUAAAUCUUAUUUUCUUUGGACCAAUUUCGGCGAUGAAUCAGAGCUCUUUGUUACCUUUAAAAGGAAUAUUAUUACAUUGACAUGUUUUCAAUUGAAUAUGUACGUUCAGCUGUGAGAAUGCAUGCACUUAUUUAUAUAUGUGUGUGUGAUGCAAUGCUGCUAUGUUCUUAGUGUUGAUUGAAUCAUUAGCCCCCCCAUCUCCAUGCUUGUUUCCUAGUAGGUGUUGUUGUACUUUAGCCUCUUAAAGUGCUAUCCCUAUUCCCCGAAUCCGGUUUUGUUUGAACUAAUUUCGACGAUGAAUCGGAAUUCUUUGUUACCUUAAAAAAAUAUUAUUACAUUGACAAAUGCUUUAAAUUGGAUAUGUUUUUUUUUUUUUGGUGCUACAUAAGAACAAGAAAGAAAAAUAGACAUUAACUAUGGUCUUAGCGUGCCAAAGCCAAGCAUAUCUUCCUCCGUCAAAACUCGAACCUGUUGAGGGGGAGCGUCAAAUAUAGUAACACCAUGCAGGGCAUCAUGAGUCAUGUUUGCUAACUGAUCCGCAUACCUGUUUCCUUUCCGGAAAAUAUGUCUAAUUUCCAGAUUUCAAUCGCCUUUGAUGAGUUCCAAGCAAUCUUUAACCAAGGUGUAACAAGGAUGAGAAUUAACCAUCAUGGACUUAAUAAAAUGAACAACCACUACUACGUCAGCACGCUUACUGUCGGUUCGGGUGUUCAAUCGAUAUCCUUUGCACGCUCCAAGAGGUUACCAGCUGUUGUCUUCUCGAAACAAAUCAGGCGGUAGUGAAAGUCAUUUUGGAAUGUCAAAGAGAUAUAUGGAACAAUUCAGAGUUGUUUUCUUUGGUUGAGGAAUACUUUGAGAAUAGCAAGAAGACGUUAGAUUUUUGUACCAUGCUCGAAAAUUGCGUCAAACGAGCUCGGAAUGAUCAGUUGAUCAUUCAAUUGGCGGUUAAGUAUUUCGAUGAAGAGGUCGGGUUAGAAGUUGGGGUCGAUGAGAAGAAAUUCAUGAAGACCUUGGAAGAACUGAGGAGAUUUAAAGCAGCUGACAAGCCAUUCCCGAAGGAGUUCUUUGUACUGUUAGAUUUGGUCCGUAAGCAGCAAGAAUCGAUGCUAGGGAAGUUGCUAGUUCGGAAAAGGAAGCUCGAUAAGAAAUUGAAAUCUUUAAAAACAUGGAGGAGAGUGUCGAAUGUCUUGUUUGUAGCAACGUUUGUCUCCGUGUUGAUUUUUUCCGUGGUGGCAGCAGCCGUAUCUGCACCACCUGUUGUGACAGCUUUAGCAAGUGCUUUGACAGUUCCUAUUGGUUCGGUUGGAAAAUGGUGCACCUCUCUUUGGAAGCGUUACGAGAAAGAGGUGAAAGAGCAGAUGGGGUUAACAACCACAAUGGAGCUCUUUGCACGCAUUACGAUUUAUGAUAUGGAUGACAUAAGGUUGCUCGUGACCAAUUUUGAGAUUAAAAUCGAGCCAUUAUUGAAGACUGCUGAUUUUGCACUCGGUGAAGAACAUGCGUUGAAGCUUGCAAUAGAUGAAAUCAAGAAAAAGUUGGGAGAAUUUAUGGAAAUCUUCGAGAAAUUAGGUCAACAAGCCGAUAAGUGUAGCCGUGAUAUUAGGAUGGCGAGGGCAGUGAUUUUGCACCGGAUGAUGACACACUGUAACACGUCAACAACCGGAGCCAUGCCUUUGGAUCUUUAGCAACACCGACCUCGCUGUGUUUGUCUUAUACUGAAUUUUUACGCUCUCGAGAGAAUGAAAUCAUGCUUCUACACAUUAGGUGAAUAGUUAUAAACGUGCCGAUUCUGAAACCUACCUGCUAGUCCAAUAUUAUAUACAAUAUUUUCAACGAUAUCUAAUACAUGCUUGUUUCGUAGCUGGUGUUGUUGUACUUCACAUUGUAACUGUGCUAUGGAUAUUCCCGUAAGGCCGGUUUUGUUCGGACCGAUUUUCGUCGAUGAACCGGAUCUCUUUGUUACCUUUGGCAAUAGAGUAAGUUGUGAAAGUUGAAUUGAAAGAAUCUGAAUUCUCAAAACUUCAUACUAUAGGGAAGUGUUUGUUCAAAACUUCCAGAUGUUUGAACUUCAUCAAUGUGUUAGAAAUUAAAAUUAAAAUAUAUAUUUAUUUUGGUUUUAGUCCCUCUAUUAUGCUAUAAUUUUAGAUUUGAUUUUUUUAAUUUAAUAUUGUUAAUUGUUAAUUGUUAACCGUGUGAUUUUUUUAAAAUAAUAGCUUUAUGUAAAUUAACAACAUUAACUACUAAAUUAAAUUAUACUAAAUUAAAUGAGAUGAUUAAAUUUUAAAUUUUUGUCCAAUGGAGACAUUAAAGCUAUAAUUAAUAAAAUUUACUUCAACAGCGGAUUCAAUCUAUUUUUAAUUUAAUUCAAUUAAUUUAUAUUGAUUCAGAAAUUAUUUGGUUUCUUUUUCUUAUUUCGAAUCGGUGUACUUUAUACUUCAAUUGGGUUAUUUUUAAUUCAUCUACUUUUCAAACUUUGAAAUUUCAAUUCUGACUCAAUGUUUUCAAAGUUAGACUGAUGAUUGAAUUAAUUAGGCCAUCGGUUCAUUAGUUCAAUCGAUUUAAUUAAAAAUUAUAAAAAAUAAAAAAAUUGGUUUAAUCAAUUUGUACCGUUUCAUGAAUCAAACUGACCCAACCUCGUGUUCGAAAUUGAUACUUUAACUAAAUCCCGAUCCAGUUAAAAAAACCUUGAUAAUAACUAUUAAACUCGUAAUAUUCAGUUAUUUUCAAAAUUUUAUUUAGUAAAUAUAUGUAUUAGUUUAGGUUGCAAAGAAUCCAAUCACUUUAAAUUGAAUGGUAUGGGUGUAAGUGCUUGUUGCCUAACCAAAAACAGAACACCACAAACAAGAGAAUCAAAAGAGUAAAGUGAUGACUUACUUAACACGUUUACAGUCUGUUAUCCAUUUUCCACAGUGCCAAUGGUUUAUUUAUUUAUUUAAUAGUAUCGGUAAUUCUCUAAUUAUUUUAUUAAUCAUUUUUUUUAAUACAAAAGAAAGGUAAAGUCUUAAUAGUAACGUAAUUAGUACAGCUCGAAUUUAAAUUAUUUUUGUAGUAGUAGAUAACUUGAUCAUCAGGUCUACGUACGGGUUCAUGUCAAUUUUUAAUAGUAAGAAUGGAUGAAAUUUUAAUAAAAAAUUAAUUUAUGAUCUAAUGUAUAUUAAAUAAUUUAUAUAUAUUUUUGAAUAGAAAAAAUAAAAUAUAAUUUUACUCACUUAAGUUUUAAUUCAGCCACUCAAUUUUUAAAAAAUAACAAUAUAGUCACUAACAUUAUUAAAAAGUAAUAAAUAAGUCACUUAUUAAUAUUUUCUGUUACUAUUUUAAUGGAACCGUUGAUGUGGUAAAUUAACUUGCCACAUUGACAUGACAAUGCAUUUAAAAUUAGUCUUAUUUAGAAUUUGGUCAUUGUACAUUAAGAAAACUUAAAAAUUAGUUCAAUUAAGUAUCAAUGUUAAAUCUUGAAAAUUACUUCUAAGUUUCAAUUUUAAAUCUUGCCGGUUGACCCAAAAAUCAGCAUUUCAAAAAAUUGUAUGCGAGAAAUUAGUAAAAAUCAACAAUUUAAUAAUUUAUAUCAAAAUUGAGGACUAACUUUUUAUUUUUCGUAAAUUAUAGAGAUGACAUUCACAAUUAGACCUAAAUAGUGACAAAUUACAAAUUUAAACCCUAAAUACCUUUUUUACAGGAUUUUUGCCAACGGAAUCGGGGAAAUCGACGGAAAAUGGUUGAAAUAAUUGAUUUUUUAUUUUUCAAAAGUUGAGUGAUUAAAUUGAAAUAAGAAUAACUAUUUUAUCAGAUACUUUAAAGUUGAGUGACUGUUGAUAUAAUUUACCCUUUAUUUUACAGAGAACCCAAACUUUACUCUCAAAGUCAGGGUCUUUAAACCCUCGGCUAAGUACUAACACUUGAAAACCCUUUCUGGGGUUUACAAGAUCUUGUUUAUUUUGUUCAUUUGUUGAACUUCAAGGGAUUUUCUUGGAUUUUCCAAGGAAUUUUAAGUGUGAGAAGACGAUCUUAGUUCACUUGAUUACUGGGUUUUAUUACUUAGAUUUGUGUGUUAGCAUUUGAAUCUGUUAUCAGCCACGAUGGCAUCAUCUAUUAGUUCUGAACCGUCAUUCCGAAUUGAAGUGCGACCGGAUUCCCGAUCCGAAGCUGAAUCGAGCUUGAACAGGGUUGCUAAUAGUUAUAGUGGUGCUCUCUCGAAUCGUAUUCACAAUGUCAUCAACUCACUUGCGCUCGAUUCGGACUUGAAGUCUUUGAUGAAGGAAUACUUCGCCAACUUCGAAAAGACUUUAGAGUUCUGUACUGCCCUUAAGGAUUGCUUCGAACAUGCUCCAAACAAUCACGGAAUUAUUGAGUCGGCGCUUAAAUGUUACGAUGAAGAGGACAAAUUAGAAGUCGGGACCGUCGAGAAGAAUUCCGUUAAGGCCUUGGAGGAACUGAGGAGGUUCAAAGAAGCUGAAGAGCCUUUCACUAAGGAGUUCCUUGUACUGAAAAAAAUUGCCCACAGGCGGUACGAAUCGAUGCAAGGGAAGGUGUGUGCUCAAAAGAAAACGCUCGAAAAGAAAUUGGAAUCACGGGAAACAUGGAGGAGGGUGUCAGUGGCCAUUUUUGUUGCCACUUUUAUUUUAGUGUUGAUUAUUUCCGUGGUGGCGGCAGUCAAAUCCGCAAAGCCUAUCAUAACAACUUCGGCAGGUGCGUUGACGGUUGCUAUAGUUCCAUUCGGAACAUGGUGUAACGGGUGUUGGAAGCGGAAGAAGGAAAAGAUAAAGGUAAAGAAGAAGUUAACAUCUAUAAUGAAGAUCUAUGGUUCUAGUGCAACCACCAUAAGGGCGCUUGUUGAACAAUUGGAAAUUAAGAACAAGUCACUGUUGCACUCCGUUGAUUACGUGCUCAAAGAAAGAUAUACUUUGAAGGUUGGGAUGGAUGAUAUCAACGAAAAAUUGAUACUUGUUACGCCUAUCAUCACAGAUUUGCUUCGAGAGACCGAUGACUGUGGCUGUAAAUUUAGAACGGAUUGGGAAGAUAUUCUGCGACAGAUGAUGCACAUGCUCUAGCACAUCAACCGGAGAGGGAAGACAAUCCCUUGAGAACUUUAGCAAUGACAUACCUCACCGUAUUUAUGGCGUAUCGGUUUUACAUUCAGGUUUGUGAUUACAUAUAUGAUAUAAUGAUUCUAUGGUACUAUGUGAUUAUAUACAUUUGAUUCUAAACAGGUGUUUUUGUACUCUUAAAUUACUAUUCUUAUGCCCCCAAAUCCGGUUUUCUUUGGACCAAUUUCGGGGAUGAGUCAGAACUCCUUGUUAACUUGAAAAAAAAUUUAUUACAUUUACAAAUGAUAUGUACAUUCAGUUGUGAGAAUGCAUGCAUUUACUUAUAUAUGUGUGUGAUGCAAUGCCGCUAUGUUCUUAGUGUUGAUUAAAUCAUUAGCCCUGAUCUCCAUGCUUGUUUCCUAGCAGGUGUUGUUGUCCUUUAGUCUCUUAAAGCGCUGUCCCUAUUCCCUCGAAUCCAGUUUUCUUUGAACCGAGUUUGACAAUGAAUCAAAAUUCUUUGUUACCUUAAAAAAAUAUUAUUACAUUGACAAAUGCUUUAAAUUGGAAAAGUUUAUUCUCUGAAUCCCAAUGGAUCAUUAUGAAAAUAGAGAGUAAAAAUACGAGAGAGGCCCUUAUACUAGGAGUAAUAUUGUGUUUUGCUCUCUUCAUUCAGGUAGUGUGUCAUAUGUAUGUAAUGCUAACGUACAUAUAUUAGUUUUUAACAGUAAAAAUGAAUGAAAUUUUUAACAAAAAUAUUAGUUUGUUUUUUGGUUUAACUUACAUGAACUAAUUUAUCUAUUUUUUUGAGUAAAAGAGACAAAAUGCAAUCUAAUGUAAUCUAACUCUUAAUAUAAACGCUUUCGUGAUACUUUUAUGGAAUGAAAAGAAAAAAUAUUCUAAACAAGCUAAUAAAAUAUAGGGUAGAAACUAGAAAUUUUUUUUUAACAAUCUCAUUAUAGAUUUUAAUUAUAUAUUUUUUUUUUGUACACAAUGCUUACAAUUACUCAUAGGCCAUAUUCCCAUCCCAACCCAUAAAUAGGGGAUAAUGUAUUUCAGUGCACUUGGACUCACGUCCUCCUGUAUUAGCAACAAUGUCCAUGCCAAUCGAGUUUAGACUGAAUCGGCCCGACUUUAAUUGUUUAUAAUAUACUAUUAAUAUUUUUGCAAUUAAAAAACUCAUUUGCUCCAAUUUAUUAGUUAGUUUUAUAACUCUCAUUUCUCACAUCUAUAAAUGGAUUAUAUUUUAUCCUUUUUACUAAAAUAACGAGUAAACUAAUCUCUAUACAUAAAAAGAAGAAGCAAAUUGAUCAUUUUAUUAAAAAUAUUAUUGAUUCCUAUUGCUAAAAAUUGGAAUAUGUGCAUCAGAAUGAGGUAUAGGUUGUAUGUCACAAGUAACUAUUUGAUUAUUCUGUUAGCUAUGCUCGUGUUUAACAAUAAGAAUGAGUGGAAUUUUUAAUAAAAAUGAUCAAUUUUCUCUUUUAUUGAAUAUACAUAAAAUAAUUUAUAUAUUUUUUAAAUAAAAUAAAUAAAAUAUAAUUUAACUUGUAACGCGAUAAUUUUACCUUCUAAAUAAUUUGGAUUUGUGGGUAGACUAGGUUGAUUGGAUUGGAUUGGAUUUUAUUUUAAUUGAAUGCUAAAGGUUUGAGCCUUUGUUUACUAAUUAAAAACAGAUUCAAAUAAUAAAGACAACCUAACACAGUUACAUUUCUGUCAUAUUCCACAUCCUAUAAUUGCCUUUGGGUCAACGUUUACUUAUUUAUUUUACAAAAACCAGAACUUUAUUCUCAAAGCCAGGGUCUUUGAACCCUCGGCUAACACUUGAGAACCAUUUCUGGGUUUUUUUAGAUCUUGUUUAUUUUGUUCAUUGUUGAACUUCAAGGGUUUUUUUAAAGGAAUUUUUCGUGUGAGAAGACGAUGGCAUCUUCUAGUAGUUCUGAACCGUCAUCCCGAAUUGAAGUGCGACGGGAUUCUUUGUCCGAAGCUGAAUCGAGCUUGAACUGGGUUGCUAAUAGUGAUAGUGAUACUCUCCCGAAUCGUACUCACAACGUCAUCAACUCUCUUGCGGUUGAUUCGGACUUGAAGUCUUUGAUGAAGGAAUACUUUGACAACUUCGAAAAGACUUUAGAGUUCUGUACUGCCCUUAAGGAUUGCCUCGAGCAUGUUCGAAACAAUCACGGAAUUAUUGAGUCGGCGCUUAAAUGUUAUGAUGAAGAGGAUAAAUUAGAAGUCCGGACCGUCGAGGAAAAUUCUGUUAAGGCCUUGGGGGAACUGAGGAAGUUCAAAGAAGCUGAAGAACCUUUCGUUAAGCAGUUCCUUGUACUAAAAAAAAUGGCCCAUAGGCGGUACGAAUCGAUGCAAGGGAAGGUGCGUGCUCGGAAGAAAACGCUCAAAAAGAAAUUGGAAUCAUGGGAAACAUGGAGGAGGGUGACAAUGGCCUUUUUUGUUGCCGCUUUUAUUUCCGUGUUGGUUUUUUCCGUGGCGGAGGCAACCAAAUCCGCAAAGCCUGUAAUAACAGCUUUGGCAGGUGCGUCGACGGCUGCUAUAGUUCCGCUGGGAACAUGGUGCAAUAAGUGGUGGAAGCGGAACAAGGAAGAGAUAAAGAAGCAGAAGAAGUUAACAACUAUAAUGGAUAUCUAUGGUUCUAGCGCUACCACCAUAAGAGCGCUUGUUGACCAAUUGGAAAUUAAGAAAAAGUCACUGUUGCACUCUGUUGAUUGCGUGCUCACUGAAGGAUAUACUUUGAAGGCUGCGAUGGAUGAUAUCAACGAAAAAUUGAAACUUGUUAUGCCUAUCAUUACACGUUUGCUUCGAAAGACCGAUGACUAUGGCAGUAAAUUUAGGACGGAUCGGGAAGAUACUCUGCGGCAGAUGAUGCAUAUGCUCUAGCACAUCAACCGGAGAGCGAAGACAAUCCCUUGAGAACUCUAGGAAUGACAUACCUCAUCGUAUUUAUGGCGUAUCAAUUUUACAUUCCAGUUUAUGUGCAUUCAUGUUUGUAAUUUCAUAUAUGAUAUAAUGAUUCUAUGUUCCUAUGUGAUUAUAUACAUUUGAUCCUAUAUGAUAUAAUAUUGAUAUUGUUGUAUUCAAUGCUAUAUGAUGAUAUUACGAUAUAUAUAUAUGUAAGUGAUGCAACACUGCUAUGUAUUACGAGACUGUAGAGAAUAUUUUAAUAAAGAAAGAAAACGUUGCAAAUAAGUGAACAAAAAUAUAUCGAAAACAAGUGAAAAGAAAAUUUCUAUAAACAAU